GGAGAUACACCUGUUCCCAUGCCGAACACAGAAGUUAAGCCCUAGUACGCCUGAUGUAGUUGGGGGUUGCCCCCUGUUAGAUACGGUAGUCGCUUAGC
rnacentral:rRNA from 3 species